GAUGAACGCUGGCGGCGUGCCUAAUACAUGCAAGUCGAGCGAACAGACGAGGAGCUUGCUCCUCUGACGUUAGCGGCGGACGGGUGAGUAACACGUGGAUAACCUACCUAUAAGACUGGGAUAACUUCGGGAAACCGGAGCUAAUACCGGAUAAUAUAUUGAACCGCAUGGUUCAAUAGUGAAAGACGGUUUUGCUGUCACUUAUAGAUGGAUCCGCGCCGCAUUAGCUAGUUGGUAAGGUAACGGCUUACCAAGGCAACGAUGCGUAGCCGACCUGAGAGGGUGAUCGGCCUCACUGGAACUGAGACACGGUCCAGACUCCUACGGGAGGCAGCAGUAGGGAAUCUUCCGCAAUGGGCGAAAGCCUAACGGAGCAACGCCGCGUGAGUGAUGAAGGUCUUCGGAUCGUAAAACUCUGUUAUUAGGGAAGAACAAAUGUGUAAGUAACUAUGCACGUCUUGACGGUACCUAAUCAGAAAGCCACGGCUAACUACGUG
rnacentral:rRNA from 1 species